GCCGGGGUCGCCUAGUGGUUCCUGAGUUUCUCGCAAGAGAAGCAAGGCUCUAAAGGGCGGCAGCCUGCUAAGCUGUUAGGUCCAAAAGGCCUUCGCGGGUUCGAAUCCCGCCCCUGGCG
rnacentral:tRNA from 1 species